AUUCAAAUAUAAAGUAUUUUUAAACUUUUAUUAAAA
rnacentral:tRNA from 1 species